CAGCAGCCACGGUAACACAGAGGGUGCAAGCGUUAAUCGGAAUUACUGGGCGUAAAGCGCGCGUAGGUGGUUUGUUAAGUUGGAUGUGAAAUCCCCGGGCUCAACCUGGGAACUGCAUCCAAAACUGGCAGGCUAGAGUAGGGCAGAGGGUGGUGGAAUUUCCUGUGUAGCGGUGAAAUGCGUAGAUAUAGGAAGGAACACCAGUGGCGAAGGCGACCACCUGGGCUCAUACUGACACUGAGGUGCGAAAGCGUGGGGAGCAAACAGGAUUAGAUACCCGCGUAGUCCCUGUCUCUUAUUU
rnacentral:rRNA from 1 species